rnacentral:rRNA from 1 species
UACGGGGGGGGGCAAGCGUUGUUCGGACUUACUGGGCGUAAAGGGCUCGUAGGCGGCCAACUAAGUCAGACGUGAAAUCCCUCGGCUUAACCGGGGAACUGCGUCUGAUACUGGUUGGCUUGAAUCCGGGAGAGGGAUGUGGAAUUCCAGGUGUAGCGGUGAAAUGCGUAGAUAUCUGGAGGAACACCGGUGGCGAAGGCGGCAUCCUGGACCGGUAUUGACGCUGAGGAGCGAAAGCCAGGGGAGCAAACGGG